GACUUUCAGUUUGUGAGAACUAUCUUAUAGCCAGGCACAAUACCUUUUGGGAGAUGUCAUCAGAGACAGUUAUGAAUGUGAUGAUGAAAAUGUUGACCGUGGUAUGUAAAACCCCAACUUGAAAUCUCUCUACGUGAUAUAUUCAGUUUAAAACAAUGUCCAUUGUUCUGUAUUGACAUAAUGCAUUGUUGAAUCUUGUUUUCCAUCUAGGCUUGCUCAUAUAUGCAUGCAGUGCUAACAGCUUAUCACAUGUUGGCUCAUGUUGGUUGUCGGCUCUUGUUGAUCGUUGGCUCAUGUUGGUCGUUGGCUCAUGUUGUUGUAGGUCGUUCUGGUCAUUGGCUCAUGUUGGAUGUUGGCUCACGUUGGUCAGUUACUCAUGCUGGUUGCUGGUCAUGUUGGUCGUUGGCUGAAGCAGGUAGUUGGCUCAUGUUGGUCAUUGCCUCCAGCUGGUCAUCGGCUCAUGUUUGUCGUAGGUCAUAUUGGUCAUCAGCUCAUGUUUAUCUACAUUCUCAUAGUACCAGUGGGGACAAUGAGCCAACCUGUGUAUGUCUUAAGUACAUCCGGUGCCCACCCUUCCAGAAAUCUUACCUUGGUAGUGGGUCUGUUUUAUUGAAGGUCACAUAUGUGAAGAGAAAUAUAAUCUGCCUGAUUAUUGUAUGGACUCAAAACCAAUUAAAUAAAUCAAUAUUAUGUUGUGUUAAACCAGUGAAAUAGACAGCCAGACAUUAGGCUAUUUAUGUUUGCACUUUAAAAGGAGAUCGAAUUAUUUCUCUGUUCAUUUAUGCACAGAUGCACCUAAUAAAUUACGUUUGCCAUUUUUUCAGAAAUAUUCAACUAUUUAGUCAGUGUAAGCUGUUUUAUUGUUGAUUUUGUUGCAUUAAUUUAUUAUUUUGGGUUGUUUUGUUUGUUUUGUGAUGUUGCUUUAACUGUCAUUGAAAUGUAUUGAUACGUUUGGUACAGAGCAAAGGGGUCAAGUUCAACUUAUUUGAUUGCUUACGCUGGACCUUUUUUUAUGUUUGAAUCAUUUUGUUUCGUGUGUGAAAUGCCCAUGAUAGUCAAGGUAUUCUGUGGUAAGGGUUUGCCAGUAUAAAAUAGAAGGAGGUUAUAUUGACUGUAUCCUGAAGGACAGACGUUGACCGUGAUGCAGGGUGUACAAUUAAUUGGACUAAUACAGGAACAGAAAAAAGCAAUAAAAUGUAUAUGUUGACAA